UCCUGGCUGGCUCAGCGGUAAAGAAUCUGCCUGUAAUGCAGGAGGCCCAGGUUCAAUCUCUGGGUCAGGAA
rnacentral:tRNA from 1 species